UACGAAGGGGGCUAGCGUUGUUCGGAUUUACUGGGCGUAAAGCGCUCGUAGGCGGAUCGAUCAGUCAGGGGUGAAAUCCCAGAGCUCAACUCUGGAACUGACUUUGAUACUGUCGGUCUGGAGUAUGGAAGAGGUGAGUGGAAUUCCGAGUGUAGAGGUGAAAUUCGUAGAUAUUCGGAGGAACACCAGUGGCGAAGGCGGCGCACUGGUCCAUUACUGACGCUGAGGUGCGAAAGCGUGGGGAGCAAACAGG
rnacentral:rRNA from 1 species